GAAUAUGGGGGGACCAUCCUCCAAGGCUAAAUACUCCUGACUGACCGAUAGUGAACCAGUACCGUGAGGGAAAGGCGAAAAGAACCCCGGCGAGGGGAGUGAAAAAGAACCUGAAACCGUGUACGUACAAGCAGUGGGAGCACGCUUAGGCGUGUGACUGCGUACCUUUUGUAUAAUGGGUCAGCGACUUAUAUUCUGUAGCAAGGUUAACCGAAUAGGGGAGCCGAAGGGAAACCGAGUCUUAACUGGGCGUUAAGUUGCAGGGUAUAGACCCGAAACCCGGUGAUCUAGCCAUGGGCAGGUUGAAGGUUGGGUAACACUAACUGGAGGACCGAACCGACUAAUGUUGAAAAAUUAGCGGAUGACUUGUGGCUGGGGGUGAAAGGCCAAUCAAACCGGGAGAUAGCUGGUUCUCCCCGAAAGCUAUUUAGGUAGCGCCUCGUGAAUUCAUCUCCGGGGGUAGAGCACUGUUUCGGCAAGGGGGUCAUCCCGACUUACCAACCCGAUGCAAACUGCGAAUACCGGAGAAUGUUAUCACGGGAGACACACGGCGGGUGCUAACGUCCGUCGUGAAGAGGGAAACAACCCAGACCGCCAGCUAAGGUCCCAAAGUCAUGGUUAAGUGGGAAACGAUGUGGGAAGGCCCAGACAGCCAGGAUGUUGGCUUAGAAGCAGCCAUCAUUUAAAGAAAGCGUAAUAGCUCACUGGUCGAGUCGGCCUGCGCGGAAGAUGUAACGGGGCUAAACCAUGCACCGAAGCUGCGGCAGCGACGCUUAUGCGUUGUUGGGUAGGGGAGCGUUCUGUAAGCCUGUGAAGGUGUGCUGUGAGGCAUGCUGGAGGUAUCAGAAGUGCGAAUGCUGACAUAAGUAACGAUAAAGCGGGUGAAAAGCCCGCUCGCCGGAAGACCAAGGGUUCCUGUCCAACGUUAAUCGGGGCAGGGUGAGUCGACCCCUAAGGCGAGGCCGAAAGGCGUAGUCGAUGGGAAACAGGUUAAUAUUCCUGUACUUGGUGUUACUGCGAAGGGGGGACGGAGAAGGCUAUGUUGGCCGGGCGACGGUUGUCCCGGUUUAAGCGUGUAGGCUGGUUUUCCAGGCAAAUCCGGAAAAUCAAGGCUGAGGCGUGAUGACGAGGCACUACGGUGCUGAAGCAACAAAUGCCCUGCUUCCAGGAAAAGCCUCUAAGCAUCAGGUAACAUCAAAUCGUACCCCAAACCGACACAGGUGGUCAGGUAGAGAAUACCAAGGCGCUUGAGAGAACUCGGGUGAAGGAACUAGGCAAAAUGGUGCCGUAACUUCGGGAGAAGGCACGCUGAUAUGUAGGUGAAGUCCCUCGCGGAUGGAGCUGAAAUCAGUCGAAGAUACCAGCUGGCUGCAACUGUUUAUUAAAAACACAGCACUGUGCAAACACGAAAGUGGACGUAUACGGUGUGACGCCUGCCCGGUGCCGGAAGGUUAAUUGAUGGGGUCAGCGCAAGCGAAGCUCUUGAUCGAAGCCCCGGUAAACGGCGGCCGUAACUAUAACGGUCCUAAGGUAGCGAAAUUCCUUGUCGGGUAAGUUCCGACCUGCACGAAUGGCGUAAUGAUGGCCAGGCUGUCUCCACCCGAGACUCAGUGAAAUUGAACUCGCUGUGAAGAUGCAGUGUACCCGCGGCAAGACGGAAAGACCCCGUGAACCUUUACUAUAGCUUGACACUGAACAUUGAGCCUUGAUGUGUAGGAUAGGUGGGAGGCUUAGAAGUGUGGACGCCAGUCUGCAUGGAGCCGACCUUGAAAUACCACCCUUUAAUGUUUGAUGUUCUAACG
rnacentral:rRNA from 1 species